UCUUCUUUCUUCUCCUUCUUGCUGUUCUUCAUUCUUCUAUUAUUAACUGAGAGACAAGAGAAACAGAGAGUGAAAUUGAAAUAGAGAAGCAGAAACCGAGAGACAGUGAGAAACCGAGAAAUCAAGAGGGAGAGAUCCGGCUAAUCCGUGAAACCCGAGACUCGGCAUGAACCCAGAUUUUCCAGCCGAAGCCCAGUGAACCCAGACCGUAGCCGAUCUUCUACCGUGAUCCAGUGAAGCCCGAAACCCAUAGCCGAGAUCUGCCGUGAACCCAGCAGCUCGACGCAGCAAACAAAUCCAGCAACCCAGAACCGAAGCCCAGCAGUAUUUUCCAGCCGAGCUCGUGCACCAUUUAGCCCAGAAAACCCGAUCCUAACCGCAUCCUCCGAACCAUGAGCAGAAUCCGGCAAUUUUGUUGAGAACUUCCAUCAUUGUGAUGGAUUUUCUGAGAAGACUUCGACUGAGUAAAGGUGAGUAUGUAUGUGUCGGCUGUGUCUCCUACUUGUGGGUUUGACUGAUAUUAUGUGAGUGUUGUGAUUUGGGCUUAAGCAAUGAUGGAUGAGUAUUCUGGACCCAAAUCUCCAACCCAUUAGGCCAGUGGUGAUCCAGUCCCACAGCCCAUCAAUGAACCCAGCAGCAACACCAGGCCGAGCUUCAGGUGAUCCAGCCCAACCCGAUUGAUCCAUGAACUAAAGGCUCGCAUUCCCCGAAGCCCAACAGCCCAACAGUGACCCAUAACUGUGAGCCCAGUCCAUACCACAGCCCGUGACCAGCAAGCCCAUACCCGAACCCAGCAGAACCCGAAGACCCGACCCAUCUCAGAACCCAUACCCGUGACCCGAACCCGGAAACCCGACCCGCAGGUGACCCAUCUUCGGCAGAACUCCGGCGACCUUUCCGACGACUUUUCCGGUGACUUUUCCGGUGAUUUUCCGGCGAUUUUCCCGUGACCGAACGCAUCGUUUUCACUAGAUUUUUCUAGUGAAAUUCUUAUUUAAUAAAUCAAGGAAAUAUACAAAAAGGAUUAAGCUCGAUCCCGAUAUUAGGGAAAUCCAAGUUAUGAACAAAGAGACGUAGGUGGCCGGGAUGGGAUCUAGGAAUGCAUUAGGACAUUUCAUUUAUAUUACCCCAUAAUUUUCAGUUAUUGUAUUUUUACAAUUAAAUGACCGUUUCCGCAUUUAUUAAAAACUCUGAGAUUUUGAAACCAUUAUUAUUUUUAUUUAUUUAAAUCAGCAUACUAGUUAAGAUA